rnacentral:lncRNA from 1 species
GGCCUGCUUUUGCCACCCUGGCGCCCCGAACUCUGUGCCGCCGCACCCUUCACCCAGUCUUGGGACGGCUGGCGCUAAGAAUUCAUGCUAUGACCUUCGAUUCAGCCAGGAGGUGACACCAAGCUCGAUCAGAAACUAUGCCACUGGUGAAGAGGUAUAUUGAGCCCUGCGUGGCCCAGUGAGGUUACUAGAGAAUUGGAAGAGUCUCAAAUCAGCAUCCUGCACAUGGUUAUCAAACCAUUGUGAAGUCUUAGUAAGUGGUCAGUGGCUCUGGUGGGCUUGCCCAGUUAGUGUCUUAACAGGCACUAGGCAGUUACUUGAUAUUUUCCCAUUAUGAUAUGAAAAGUUUUUUGUUUUUUGUUUUUUUAGGGCUGUACCCGUGGCAUAUGGAGGUUCCCAGGCUAGGGUUCAAAUUGGAGCUGUAGCUAUAUGCAGGCCUACACCACCCACAGCUAUAGCAACUUGGGAUCCGAGCUGCGUCUGCAACCUACGCCACAGCUCACGAGAGUGCUGGAUCCUUAACCCACUGAGUGAGGCCAGGGAUUGAACCUGUGUCCUCAUGGAUACUAGUUGUGUUCUUAACCCACUGAGCCACAAUGGGAACUCCAAAAAACAGUCUUUAUUUCAGACUAGAGAGUGAUGAGCCUAAUCUCUCUCUUUCCCCGUCUCCCAUUUUUGCAGAUGAUAUCUUGCCCACCAUAAUAGUUGGUGUAGAAAAUGGAUUUGAAUCCAAGCCCAAUAUUGUUUCUUCCACCUAGUGCUUCCUCUAGAUUCCACCUAAGUCCAAGGAGGCGAUGUGAGACAGAAACAUUUUUAUUCCACAUGGAAAGAUUAUAAUAGCCUCUGACAUUGUGCUCCUCUGAUGAAGGAAAUGUCCAUGGUAUAAAUUUUUAUUGUGCAUAAAAUCACCUGGGAAGCUUGUUAAAAAUGCAGAUUCCUAGGCAGCUAGAAGCCUUGUCAUUGGUCCAGAGCAACAUGAAGACCUACUUGUCACUUACACUGAGGCUUCCUGCCCAGUGGGUUCACCAGCAAGCCAGAAGGAAGCAUCACUGCCAUGGAUGUCCUUGUGAGGCAGUUGUGAAGCCUUGGAGAGCUUUAGAAACAACUUGUCAAGUUUUCACCACAAAUACCAUUGGAGUUACAAUUGGAGUCUCACUGAAUUAUAGAGUAAUUUUUGGAGAGCUAUCAUCUUUAUAAUCUUCUCAUACAUGAAUGUGUCUUGGCUACUUGUAGAUGUUGCAUUGCUGCUGCCGCUGCUGCUGUUACUACAACUACAAUUGCUGCCAGUUGCUCCUUGCGUAGGACCAGAGUGAUCAUUCAUCAGAAACCUCAUCUUCACAGUCUGGGGUUUGUUCCUGUGGCUGGUAUUCACAGUUUUCCCCUUCCAACUUUACCUCAGCUAUCCCCUUACCUACAUUAACAGGAGUUGCUGGUAGAAGACUUCAUGAAGGAGAGAAGAAAAGGAAAAAAUCAGAGGAUGACUACAGCCUCCUUCAUCUCAGCUUUUCAAAGCAUUACUCAACAGAGGGAUCACUCUCUUGAAUACUCUCCAGACCACAGGCCAUCAGUCUAUUACAGGCUCUAACUGGGAGGAGCCUUAUUGUGAAUGAAGCUUCGGUGGGUGCUAGGAGUAACACCGUGUUUCUCUGGAUAUGAGAAGAAUGGAGGGCAGAGAGCAAGGGAAGGAAGCUAUGAAAUAUUGGAGUAACAAAUGCUUGACGUUUUAGUGGGUAUUGGACCUAGAAGCCUAUAUGAUUGAAGGAAGCAAACCUGGAGAGGUCUGAUGUUUGUGAGUGAAGAUAGGAGUGAACUCCUUAUUGCAAUUAAAAAUGGAGUGAGGGGGAGGAAAAAAAUGACAGAAAUCAUAAGAUCCAUUACUUCAGUGAAGGAAGCACUGAGACUUGCUUCAUAAACCUGUAAUUUUUAAAGGUAGAUUGAAGAUAAGUUGUUGUGCUGCACUAUUUCUAUUCCUACCCGUGAGAGUUACUGCCAGCCACUCUUCUCAGGUAGAUCUGCCUUUAUGGAAAUUUCUGUUGACCCACGUAAAGAAACAACCCAGAAAAACAUUUGCAACAUUGAAGAACUCUGGUUCAGUGACAGGGUGUUAAAGGAGUCGAGGAUAGAGGAAAUAGCUCAAGUAGUACCAAAUAGCUCAGGUUGUUUUUUUUUUUUUCUUUUUAAUAGGAUGAUUGGGCCAGAGACAGUGGGCAGAAUGACUUCAGGCAACCCCAAACACCAGAUAUGGCAUAAGGAAACAGUUCAAGGAAAAGGUCAAUCCUUGGACCUAGUAUUUGUGAUGCAAUAUCUUAAAUUAAAAGGAAGAGCUGCUUUGGAGAAGGGUUUUAAAAGAUUGUAUUUCAUAGAAAGAAGAAAGAUUUGAGGAGAAACUUCCAAUUAUAUAAGAUGGGCAUUAUAACUAUUAAAGACAUCUGUUGCCUGCAUGGGUCAUAGAGAUUGAUACCAGUAUCAGCCUGUGGCUGACUAGGCCAGUUUAAGUGGUUUCCUGUUCGAAGAGAGAUGCUGCCAUUCUCUCACUUUGGCAGGUAUUCACCUGCAAUGAGUCCAGUACCUGGAGGAGCAAGAAAAAAACAAGCAUCCAGGGGGACAAUAGUAUAGCCUUCUGAGUUAAGAUAGCAACUGAAAAGAUCAUGGGAUUGGCUGCACUGGGCUGGGCUUGUUUGUUUUUUCAAAAUAAAAAAGUUUUCUUUUUGAUGACAAAAGUAAGAGAUGAUCAUUCUUUAAAAAUAAAGUGAAAAGUAUAAAAGAGUAAUGUGCUUCCUUUUACUCUAAAAAAAGUGUAUAUAACACAGUUUAAAAAUAAAAUUGACAUUGUAUUUUCUGACUUUUCUCAUUUAAAAAUAAGCAUUCUUCCAUGUCAUUAACAUUAUUUAAAAAUACAAUAUUGUGUCACAUUUCAUAUGGAUCUAACAAAAUUUAUUUAGAUCGUCUCAUGAUGCAGAUAUUUUGGAUG